rnacentral:tRNA from 1 species
AGCUCUUUGGUCUAGAGGUAUCAUUCUCGCUUUGGGCUCAAAAAUGCGAGAGGCCCCGGGUUCGAAUCCCGGAAGAGCCC